rnacentral:rRNA from 1 species
UACGGAGGGUGCAAGCGUUAUCCGGAUUUACUGGGUUUAAAGGGUGUGUAGGCGGGCUUUUAAGUCAGUGGUAAAAUCUCCGGGCUCAACCUGGAAACUGCCAUUGAUACUAUUAGUCUUGAAUUCUGUUGAGGUAGGCGGAAUAAGUCAUGUAGCGGUGAAAUGCAUAGAUAUGACUUAGAACACCAAUUGCGAAGGCAGCUUACUAAGCAGAUAUUGACGCUGAGGCACGAAAGCGUGGGGAUCAAACAGG